CUUUGCCUACGGGGCGCAGCAGUCGGGAAUAUUGCGCAAUGGAGGAAACUCUGACGCAGUGACGCCGCGUAUAGGAAGAAGGUCUUCGGAUUGUAAACUAUUGUCGUUAGGGAAGAGAAAGGACAGUACCUAAGGAGGAAGCUCCGGCUAACUACGUGCCAGCAGCCGCGGUAAUACGUAGGGAGCGAGCGUUAUCCGGAUUUAUUGGGUGUAAAGGGUGCGCAGGCGGAAUGUCAAGUCAGCGGUAAAAUUUCGGGGCUCAACCCCGUCGUGCCGUUGAAACUGGCGUUCUUGAGUGAGCGAGA
rnacentral:rRNA from 1 species